rnacentral:rRNA from 1 species
GACGAACGCUGGCGGCAUGCCUAACACAUGCAAGUCGAACGAAGGCUUCGGCCUUAGUGGCGCACGGGUGCGUAACGCGUGGGAAUCUGCCCUUGGGUUCGGAAUAACAGUUAGAAAUGACUGCUAAUACCGGAUGAUGUCGUAAGACCAAAGAUUUAUCGCCCAAGGAUGAGCCCGCGUAGGAUUAGCUAGUUGGUGAGGUAAAGGCUCACCAAGGCGACGAUCCUUAGCUGGUCUGAGAGGAUGAUCAGCCACACUGGGACUGAGACACGGCCCAGACUCCUACGGGAGGCAGCAGUGGGGAAUAUUGGACAAUGGGCGAAAGCCUGAUCCAGCAAUGCCGCGUGAGUGAUGAAGGCCUUAGGGUUGUAAAGCUCUUUUACCCGGGGUGAUAAUGACAGUACCGGGAGAAUAAGCUCCGGCUAACUUCGUGCCAGCAGCCGCCGUAACAC